GGCCCAAUGGUCUAGUGGUAUGAUUCGCCCUUCGGGUACUAGAACAAUCCUCACGCUCAGCGUGACUGGGCGAGGUCCCGUGUUCGAAUCACGGUUGGGCCC
rnacentral:tRNA from 1 species